UGGGGAAUCUUGGACAAUGGGGGCAACCCUGAUCCAGCCAUGCCGCGUGAGUGAUGAAGGCCUUAGGGUCGUAAAGCUCUUUCGCCUGUGAAGAUAAUGACGGUAGCAGGUAAAGAAACCCCGGCUAACUCCGUGCCAGCAGCCGCGGUAAUACGGAGGGGGUUAGCGUUGUUCGGAAUUACUGGGCGUAAAGCGCACGUAGGCGGACCAGAAAGUUGGGGGUGAAAUCCCGGGGGCUCAACCCCGGAACUGCCUCCAAAACUAUUGGUCUAGAGUUCGAGAGAGGUGAGUGGAAUUCCAAGUGUAGAGGUGAAAUUCGUAGAUAUUUGGAGGAACACCAGUGGCGAAGGCGGCUCACUGGCUCGAUACUGACGCUGAGGUGCGAAAGUGUGGGGAGCAAACAGGAUUAGAUACCCUGGGUAGUCCACACCGUAAAACGAUGAAUGCCAGUCGUCGGAUAGCAUGCUAUUCGGUGACACACCUAAUC
rnacentral:rRNA from 1 species